UGCCACUCUUGUGUCGUUCCCGCUUCUACCCCCCCCUUCCUGGUUGCACCUAAACUUCUGAUAAUAAAUUCCCUUGUUUCGUUUGCACCUAAAACCGGUCCUCCGCUGACAUGCCAUUUCCAGUGAUCGUCUCCAUAACAGAAGGACGGUGGCCAUGGAAGUUGGAAUCCGCUAAGGAGUGUGUAACAACUCACCUUCCGAAUCAACUAGCCCUGAAAAUGGAUGGUGCUAAAGUGUACUACUUAUACUCAACCUUCUAAACAAAUACCAUAUUUUAUGUUUAGAAGAGUAGAAGGGUGUGGAGUUUCUGUAGAAGUCUAUGAGCAUGAGCUUGGAUGGAAGAAACUCUAGUCCAGAUCUUGGUUGUAGUAGCAAAUAUUCAAGUGAGAACCUUGAAGGCCAAAGUAGAGAAAGGUUCCAUAUGAACAGUAUUUGGAUACAGGUUAGUUGAUCCUAAGAGAUAAGUUAAUUUCUGUAUUAAAGUUGGGUGAUACAUUUGUUUUCACUCCAUUAUUGAAAGGGAAGAGGAUUAAUAUUUCCUCACUAAGAUGGGGAUACUUUUACAGCAACAUAAAUGAACUUUGAUACAUUGGUAAAAGCCCUGGAAAGAGUUCUCUUUUCUUUUUAAUAGCCCAUUAAUACUCUUUGGAGUGUUGAUUUAAAACAACCUGGGAAUUAGAUUAUCUAGAGAACAGGUUAAAUGGCUAUCAGAGCAUCUCUCUUUUUUUGAGGUGUCUGGUGCGCUUUUGACAAUCCUUGAAACUCAAAGGGAAAGAGUCAUUCUCCCACUUAGUCAUACUCAUAACUGCCGCAGGUCUCUAAGGUGAAAAGCCUCUGGUCUAUUAGAAGAAUGCAGGUAAGGGAAGUCAGCAAAUUAGAUCUGUAACUUCAGGAUAAAGAUUGGCUCUUAGGGUUGGGUUGUCAAGCUUUUAAAGGAAUAUGCCUUGUGACGAUUAGAGAGCUAUGGAAUGACUGGUUGAUUAGGGUAACUGAAAAAUUGGUUGUACUGUGGAGCUUUGAUUAUUACUUGGAUGACUUUUUUAAGAUCCUUUUUCUUCUUUCAGGAAGAAAAACUCUUGGCAACAAUUAACAACCAACUAAGAACUGAUAUGGUCAAGGGGAAUCCAACUGUUUAAUUAAAACAAAGCAUUGUGAUGGCCAGGGAUUUGGUGUUGACACAAUGUGAUUUCUGCCCAGUGCUCUGAAUGUCAAAGUGAAGAAAUUCGACCAAGCGCAGGUAAAUGGCAGGAGUAACUAUGACUCUCUUAAGGUAGCCAAAUGCCUUGUCAUCUAAUUAGUGACGUGCAUGAAUGGAUGAACAAGAUUCCCACUGUGGGACACAACAGCCAAGGGAACAGGCUUGGCAUAAUCAGUGGGGAACGGACCCAGUUUUCCUCUCAUGUGUAAUUACAAUUCAGAGUUCAUAAGACAACCAACCAGAGUUGAUUGAUUGCCUGGCAACUCAAUAAUAAGGAUGUUGGAUUCUAAGAGGUCCUAAAAAACUGAUCACUAACCUGAAAGCUAGAUCACAAGUCUCAAGGAUGCUAUGCAGCCCUCAGAAUCUAUCAAUACUCAUGUAAAAAGAGGAAAUCUAAGUGGAGGUUGAGUCAUUGCUUAAUUAGCAUGGAUUCUGGCUUAGAGGCGUUCAGCCAUUAUCCAACAGAUGGUAGCUUCAUGGCACUGUCUGAUCAAACAACCGCAUUUACCAAUUAUCUUCCGUUUCAGGAGUUGGCAAAGAGGAGAAAAUGGGAUGACUCUUUGUGGGGUGG
rnacentral:rRNA from 1 species